CCCGCCUCUCCAUGGACGGCGGCCGAGCAGCAGCCGGCGGCGCAUACCCCUCUCCCGUCGCUGCUCCUCCACAUCCUGCGGCGCUGAGCAACACUCCUGUCGAUGCCUCCUCGUUCAUCCACACGCCGUUCUACUGGAAUUAUUACUUGGACUGGCACAACUGAGGCAGCAGUUUCCCCGCCCUGUUCCUCCCUCAGCAGCAGCUCUGGCACCUGGCACGCGCGCGGCUUUGAUGCCGCUCAGGGUGGUGCGAGCGGCGUCACGCCGCUCCCACCGCGCGGGGCCUCGCGCGUCUUCCGUGGCGCGGAUGUCGGGGGCGUGCAACGCGAUAACCUCGGCAAACAUGCUGAUGGGGCAGCACCUGCGGGCCGGCCGAUUGGACGCCGUGCGGGAGGUGUUCAACGGAAUGCCGCGGCGGGAUGUUGUGUCCUGGAACACCCUCAUGGCCACACACGCCCGGUCCGGGGCGCAUGGCAGUGUGGCUGCCGCGUUCGCUGAAAUGAGGCGACAUGGGUUCCACGCAGACAACGUCUCGUUCUCGACCGUGCUGUUGGCCUGCUCGCGGAUGGAGGCUCUGGAGCUCGGGAUGUGCAUCCACGGGCUGGCGACCAAGACCGGUGCCUCCCGGAACGUGUUUGUCGGUGCGUCCCUGACCACAAUGUACGCCAAGUGUGGGCUGUUCAGCUUCCUAGAACGGGUUGUGAACGCUGUUGACAGUCCAAACGUGGCCUUGUGGAAUGCUCUCAUAUCAGGACUUGUGAUGAACCAUCGGGUGGAGGAUGCUCGCAGGGUCUUCGAUAAGAUGACAGAACGCAAUGUUGUGUCCUGGACUGCCAUGGUCAAAGGGUACGUCAGGGUGCAUGAAUUGGGAUGGGCCUUCGAGCUGUUUAACUUGAUGCCUGCAAAGAAUUCAGUGUCAUGGUGUGUCAUGAUUGGAGGUUUUGUCAACCAUAAGCGGUUUGGAGAGGCAGUCGACUUGUUCAAGUCUUUGGUGAGUAGUGGGGAGGAAGUAACAAGUGCAGUUCUGGUCAAGAUUGUGAGGGCUUGUUCUAGCUUGAAAAGUAUUGGAGGAGGUCAAUGCAUUCACGGUUUCGCUGUGAAGUCUGGGUUUAUUCUUGACCAGAUCAUUGAGGCAUCACUGGUUAUGAUGUACUGUAAUUCCUUAGACAUCGAUGAGGCACGGCUUGAAUUUGAUAGAAUGGAAAGAAAGCAUGUUGGCUCAUGGAAUGCCAUCCUAUCUGGCUAUAUCCAUGCUAACAGGCUUUAUGAGGCUAGACAGCUUUUUGAUUCCAUGAUUGACAGAGAUAGGAUCUCGUGGAACUUGAUGGUCAGUGGCUAUAUAAAAGAUGGAAGAAUCGCUGAUGCUACUGAGUUGUACUCAAAGAUGCCUGAAAAGAGUGUGGAAGCGGGUACUGCUUUGAUGUCUUGUUUUAUAGACAAUGGAAUGCUUGACAAAGCUCGGCAUGUGUUCUACAAUAUGCCUGAAGUAGAUGUGAUGUCCUGUACUACUUUACUCUUUGGAUAUGUGAAAGGAGGGUAUAUAGAUGAUGCACUGGUUCUUUUCAAUAGGAUGCGUAAAAGGACUGUUGUCACCUACAAUGUGAUGAUAGCUGGUUUGCUUCAUCAAGGUAAGGUUACUGAAGCCUACAAGCUCUUUGAUGAAUCUCCAAUGCAUGAUUUAGUAACUUGGAGCUGUUUAAUCAAUGGGCUUGCUCAAAGUGGUUUAAAUAAUGAUGCACUUAAGCUGUACAAGAAGAUGCUACUGUCAAAUAUACGACCAAGUGACUCGAUGCUUUCUAGCCUCAUUGGCUGUUUUUCGCAUCAUUCUAUGAUGGUUCAUGGCCAGCAGUUUCAUGGUAUUAUUAUCAGGCUUGGGUUUGAAUCACAUUUGCUAAUUCAAAAUUCACUUAUUAGUAUAUAUUGCAGAUGUGGUGAAAUGUUAAUGGCCCAAGGCAUAUUUGAUAGCAUGGCCAGGAGAGAUGUAGUGACAUGGAACACUAUGAUUUGUGGAUAUGCACUCAAUGGUCUUGGUCAAAAUGCUAUUCAGACAUUUGGUAACAUGAAUAAGGCACAAGUUGAUCCUGAUGACAUCACGUUUAUCGGCAUACUUUCUGCAUGUAAUCACAUGAGCCUUUUGGAGGAAGGCAAACAUUUCUUCAAUAUAAUGACAUGCAGUUAUGGAAUUUUACCGAAUAAAAUGCAUUAUGCUUGCAUGGUUGAUCUAUUCAGUAGGAGAGGCAUGCUUGAGCAAGCUGAAGAGUUAGUGAAGUCAAUGCCAUUUGAACCAGAUUCUGCAAUUUGGACUUCUCUCUUGAGCAGCUGUAGAUUGAAUGGCAAUGGCAGGUUGGCAGAACAUGCAGCGAGUCAACUAAUCUCAAUCAACCCUACCACUAAAAUGCCAUACCUGCAUCUCAUCAGUGUAAAUAGAUCAACUGAAAGAUGGAGUGUGAUGGACAAUUUGAGAAGUCAAAUUGGAAAUGCAGCAACAGACAAAGAAGUUGGCUAUAGCUGGAUUUAACAUUCCAUCAUGAUUCACUGAUGUGUACUGUGUAACAGCAGCAUGUCAAUAAGGUACCAGAAUACAAGGCUGCCUAUGGGCUAGGGCUGCCAAUUAUUAAGCACGGCUUUUAACUUCUCAUGGUGCAGCCACAACCCAUGGAUCACUUAUGCAGAAACUUGUCACCACGGUGAAGAAAAUAUCUACAUUCUAUGUAAGGAACUGAUAAGAAUUGGAGUGGCUGAUCCUAUGGGCACUGAUCUUUAUGUUGUUUUCAUAUCAAACGAGGAAAAGAAGGUUCCUCUCUGGCAUCAGAAAGCAAGUAACUCUGAUGAAGGAUUUAUCUGCUGGGAUUAUCAUGUGAUCUGCGCCCAGUCUAGGCGAAACGAAACAAAGGAGAAGUUCUUGAUCUUGUUUGGGAUCUGGACUCGGAUCUUCCUUUCCCUUCCCCAUUCAGCCAGUAUGUUUCCGAUGCAAUUCAACCACUAGCAUUUGGUGAUUCCAUAUAUAGAAGGCUCUUCCGUGUGGUUCAUGCUCCUUUGUUUCUUCAAUCAUUUGCUUCAGAUAGAAGCCACAUGAAGAACCCUGCGGGGAAUUGGAUUCAGCUACCCCCAAAAUGGAACCACCAAUAACCUUAAUGAGUACAUUGCGAUGUCUGUGGAGGAUGUGGCAGACCUGGAGAGUGUGGUUAAUGAUGUUUACUCCAACAAACAUGGUGUAGUGGUUAAUGAAACAAUACUGCCCAGAUUCUUCGCUCG